UACGUAGGGGGCUAGCGUUGUCCGGAUUUAUUGGGCGUAAAGAGCGCGCAGGCGGCUUGGUAAGUCGGAUGUGAAAUCCCGAGGCUCAACCUCGGGUCUGCAUCCGAUACUGCCCGGCUAGAGGUAGGUAGGGGAGAUCGGAAUUCCUGGUGUAGCGGUGAAAUGCGCAGAUAUCGGGAAGAACACCCGUGGCGAAGGCGGCUCUCUGGGACGGUACUGGACGCGUGAGA
rnacentral:rRNA from 1 species